AUGAAUCGUAAUAUAUACGAUGAGAUCACUCCGUGAUCUGAUAAGGUUAUGGUAUGAAGAAAGAUCAAGAGAAUGAUGAAAAGUUUACAGCAAGAUUGCUGUGUAUGAAUUGUACUAUAAAUUGGUACAGAUCCAGAAAAGAAUUAUGAAUACGAAUUAAAUUCGUAUGGAGAAGGGGUUAGUGUUAGGUGGGGAUUCAAUUGAGGACUCAUGUCGGCAGCUGAGUUGUAUGAUUCUUCGUAUGGG
rnacentral:lncRNA from 1 species